rnacentral:sRNA from 1 species
GUGAAAAUAGACAAGGUGGAAACCUAAGAACUUUAGGUAGGUGCCCAUUCUGUUCCUAGCUUCAGAAGUUAUUUAUACCUAUGCAAUACCUUCGCUCAGGUUAAAGAAUGGAAUACUAGUCUUGCAUCAAAUAUAUAUUACAUAUCCAUUCGAUGUUUAUCACCAGAAGUUAGUUCUACCUUUGCAGUACCUCUGCUUUACAUACCUCCUCGCUGGUUAAAGAAUGGAAUAUAAAUCUCAUAUCAAGUUGGUGUAAAAAUUUAGUUCAAUAAAUUAAGAAUUUAUAAACGUUCUCAAAAUUUUGAGUGGAGCAAUUGUUUUUCUGGUUUAGCAUGAGUAUGAAUCUGAUAUCAAUUGUAUGUACAAAGAUAGUUUACUUCUUAAAGAACCUAUCAGUAAACCAACUGAUUAUAAAACAGUUUUUAAUGGGAAUAAAAACAAAUUUUCAAAAGA